AUGUGGAAGAAGACGUUUCUGGUAACCCAAGGUGGGAGAGGAAUAUCACCCGAAAAUAGCUCCGGCAACAAAGUACCGGAGACUCUCCCGCUACUCAAGUAAUCACCAUCACAACCGGCUGAGUUUUCACCUUAAACUCAUACAAGGCUGAUUCAGAAGUUGAAAAAAGCAAAACAGUUUGUAAAUUAGACAAAGCUGCAUAAUCUCAAACCUUUUCUUUAUCUUCCUCUCUAUUGUGGAAAUUAAGGUAAUUAAGAAAAAACGAAGCUUGUAAAAGUAACAUAAAAGUCGUCGAUCUUUGUUGUACCUUCGUAGACAAGAUCAGUAAAUCGUGUGUUUGUCUUCUUGUACGGAUUUGGAUUUUAAAUGUUUUUGUUUCUUCAGCGUGAAGAACCCUAGAGAGAGUUUCUUGAUUCCUUUUGUUUCCCUUUGUUUAGUUGUCAUCACUUUGUCUUCCGUACGUUACGU
rnacentral:lncRNA from 1 species